UACGGAGGGCGCAAGCGUUAUCCGGAUUCACUGGGUUUAAAGGGUGCGUAGGCGGGCAGGUAAGUCCGUGGUGAAAUCUCUGAGCUUAACUCAGAAACUGCCAUGGAUACUAUUUGUCUUGAAUGUUGUGGGGGUAAGCGGAAUAUGUCAUGUAGCGGUGAAAUGCUUAGAUAUGACAUAGAACACCCAUUGCGAAGGCAGCUUACUACACAAAUAUUGACGCUGAGGCACGAAAGCGUGGGGAUCAAACAGG
rnacentral:rRNA from 1 species